AGUGGAUUAUUAGGUAUAAUUUGAGAGGCCACUCCCUCCUCUUAUCUUUGGUUACUUUAAAGCAUAUAAUGUGUCUGUAGGGCAGUACCCACCCCUACCUCACAGCGUGUGGUUUAGCUGAUACCCUAACUAAGCCUCCAGUUGACCCUAUUCCACCCGUCUAUUACGGAGCAGGGUAAGACCAGUGAAUGCUUUGGGCCUGUUCCCUCUGCUGUAUUUCAUUUGCCGUAGAAUGAGUUCUUGGGUCUGAAGUGGUAUCGUAUGGGAUACAAUGGUAAUAAAUAAGGUGUUUUGUAAAUGAAUGAAUAAUAGAGUAGGCAGAAGUGUUACGGAGGCAAAUCUGAAUCUGUAACAGAAUGAAUUCCCAGGAGGACAAAUCACUCCCACCUCCAUGAUGUGAAAAGUUCCACUGUAAUCAACUUUCCACCAGGUAGCUGACUGGUCCCCGUGAGAAUGGUGCCAUACUGGGAGUAUUGUUUUGGCUUCUGCCAUUGUUGUUUGGGCAUUCAGUGGUAGCUCUAGUCCCAUUAUCCUUGGUGAGGAGAAGGUGAUGUUGAGCCCACGCAUAGCAUUCUUGCCGCCAUGGCUACUUUUUCCAUGGAUCCAUUGAGCAAACACCAGAUGGCUCGGGAAAGAGACUGACUGACAUUCACAGGAGGAAUCAUCUUGUUUCUAUCUGAUUAUUGAGUGUUCUUGCUGUGUCCUCUGGGGAGUAUUUACAUAGAACACAACUGCCUUUACACUUUGCACCCAUUCUUAGAGUCCACAUAUUUUUCUCUUAGACCUGUUUGUCACCAAUCUUCCAAUUUUGUUCUUUCCAAGUCCCUGACCUGUCAGACAGUCUAUUAGCCAUUUCCUAUAUCAGUAGAGAUUUAUACCUCAGACUCUCUUUCCAGAGUGGACCAUCAGAUGAACUCCCAAAGUUCUACCUACUGGAGACUUUUCCCUCAUUGUGUUUUCAGGCUGCCCCUGAGUACAGCUUGUCAUUUGGUGGUCACCCACUUCUCCGUGCCAACAUAUUUCAAAUAUGUGGUAGUGGCAUUAAUUUCUGCAAUUCUCCUUGAGGCUACAGUGUUGAUUUUGUUUACUGUUUUGACAAGAUAGAGUAGUUCCAGAGUCUCUCACUCUACCCUUCCUACACAAUGGCUCCUACUCCAUUAGUCAGGGAACCAAUAUGAGGAUUCUCUCUUCUGGUUGCUAAGCAUGUGUGGGAGAAUAAUGAUACAUCAUUUCCUGUGAAGUGUGUCAGACACACUGUGCGAUACAUUAUUCUCAUUGGAUCAAUAUACCACUUAUCACCUGACCAGUGGACCAAUGGGGUUCCUGGGGACCCUCAGGAGUCAACGUUAAUUCAGAGUCAGUGUGUAAUAACUCUGGGAAGUCUGGAUUUCCUUUUCCCUGUGCCCACUCGCCCUGGUAAAUGGCUGCAGGUCCCUCUGCAGAAAGCAUUAAGGAAGAUUUAUGAUACAAAAUUGUGACUGACUUGCAGAGUCCUUUUUUAAAGGGAUCUGGCCCCCAACACUGGAACUCUGGAUCUAUAAGCUGACUGGAGUCUGGGAAUUGAGUACUUUUCUUACAGUCAGAUUCUGCUCACCUGGCUUAGACUCUCUCUGAUUUUACAGAUCAAGCCAUACCUUACCAGGCUGCCUAUCUAUUUUAUUCCUGGGAACUUUAUGAUGAGUUAGCCAUUUCCAGGGACCUUGAGAGCCAAAAUGCUCUGAUUGCCACUCUGUCCUUGUGCCUUCUUAUGGUAAUUGUGCCUACUUUGUCUUUCCUGGUUAAGUGCUGCCACCUAAUCUUCACUUCAUAGGGAUUCCCUCAUUCCCAUUGAAAUCAGGAAGCCCAGUUCUCUGGCAGUACCUCCCACCAGCAUCUUUGCCCUCCUGAGGAUGCUCAGCACAAGGGUUUUUAUGGAUGCUGGUGCUCUCUUCCCUAAUGCAUCUCGGUGCGCUCCUGGGUCGUAAGGCAGGGAUUGGCUGGGCAGGCUGCACAUACUGAGUUCAUUCCAACAUUCCAACCUUCCCAUCUCCGGAAGCCAUCACACUCCUUUCUCUAACAUGUGCUAGAAAAAUGCCAGCAUCUCAGUCUAGGCCAUCUUUGGACAGGCUUCAGUCAGCUAUACAAGCAAACUGUUAGAGCCAUGCAGUAUUCUAACAGCCAUUUCAGGGCCAAAGCAAAAGAGGGGUCUGCAACUAUUGUAACAGAAUUCAAACUGUCUGUGACAGACGAGGAUGCUGUAUGGAGCCUCUGAUACAGCCUGCUGGAGUGAAAGCACGCCCAUUUGAAAGGCAGUUCCCAGAUCGCCACUGGACACUUUGAAUCUUGAGUUCUUGGUUAAAUGUUGCCAAAUUGCUCUCCAAAAAAGUUAUGACAAACCAGAUUCUCAUCAGCAUUGUAGGAGAAUGCAAAUUCUCUCCAUCUUCGAUAUUAGGUGGGUCCUUUGAGGGGUGAAGACAGCUGUGUAUCAACCGGGAAGCGAGCUCUCACCAGAAACCGAAUGAUGGCACCUGAUCUUGGUCUUCCAGCCUCCAGAACUGCAUUGGUGGAACCUGGGUGGUGGACUGUCACUGACCUGUUUUCGAAAUCUACGUACAUGGUUGGAAAAUAACAGAAAACAGUUCAUACAGCUGCCUUCGUUACCAAGACAACAAACAGAAGAAAUAACUGGCUACGUGGCUUUUCUCUUUUUCUGAACUACCUUCCAAAUACUAGUAAUCUCUUCCCUAAAAUCUGUGUAUCUGUUUGAGAUUACUAGUCGAGUAGUUCCUUUUUUUAGCAAGAGUAUGUUGUGCCCCUGAUUAUAGACUGAGAACAGGGAGUUGUAUUUUUUUCCUCAAGUUUUCUUUUAAAUGAUUUUGAAACAUACACAGUUAAUAACACAUUUAUACAUGUUAAGUAUAAGAAUGUAAAACUUUACAGAAGUGUUUAGUGUAAAAAGUGUAAAUUUCUCUUUCGAGAAUCCUUACCUUGACCAAUAUCAACAUAUUAUAGUGAAUAUGAUUCAGUAUAAUUGACUUCGAGUGAAUUUAAGGGCAGCAAUGUAUUCAGCUCAGUAAAAACUACAUGUUCAAUAUAUGUGUUUAAAAAAGCCAAAAAAACAUUAAAACCCUUUAAAAUUUAUAUGAACAAAAUGUGUUUCUUUUAUGAAAUUCAAAAAAAACAAGCAAAAAACAAUACAUAAAUUACCCACAGUUACCACUACCCAGUCACCGCCACUAAUAUUUAGUUUUUAAUGCUUUUCAAAACGAUUAUUUUAAAGUAAAUAAUCCUUUAAAGUAAGUGUUUAUUUUAAAGUAAUACAUGUUCAUUAAAUAAAAAAAUACAUUAAUAAUGAUUAUAAGAGCAUUAAUAAUGGCUACUCUUUAUUUAACACUCUAAGUGCCAACCCUGUGUUAAGAGCUUAUAUGCAUAAAAAUAAAACCAUUUUUGGGGGGUAACAUUUGAAACAUGAAUUUCUGAUCCUUUCUUUCCUUCUGUAUAUAGGCAUUUAAAAAAUUAUGUAGUGAUAAUUGUAGUGUAUAAUUAGUUUUGAAUUCUGAUUUUUCAUAAAAGAUUUUUUCUGUGAUGCUAUAUACUCUUUGAUACCACUUUGA